rnacentral:lncRNA from 10 species
AGCAAACCAGCUAUGCACUUCCAGAACACAAUGGUGGGACAGCUACAGGAAGGACAUUCCCAUCCCAAAAAGGAGAAACAGUGAAAAAAAGAAAAGCAACAAGUCCCAAGUAGGUCCAAAACCCAACAAAGCAAAGUAUUGGUUUCAAUUUUUAUUUUACUGUGGUCUGAGAAUGAGUUUGGUAUGAUCUGGGUUUUUUUUGAAUUUGCUAAGGAUUGUUUUAUGGCUACUUAUGUAGUUAAUUUUAGAGUAUGUGCCAUGUGCAGAUGACAAGAAUGUAUACUCUGUUGUUUUUGGGUAGAGAGUUGUGUAGAUAUUUGUUAGGCCCAUUUAGUCAAGUGUCAAUUUCAGAUCCUGAUUAUCUUUGUUAGUUUUCUGCCUCAUUGAUCUGUCUAAUACUGUCAGUGGGGUGUUGAAGUCUCCCUCUAUUAUUCUGUGAUUGUCAGGUGGGACUCAUCUACCCUGUUGAAAGGCCUUAAGAGUAAAACUGAAGUAACUAAAAGUAUUCCUUAUGGGAGACAAAGGGAUGGGCUGAAAUAAAAGGAUGGGCUCUGGCUAGUUAUCUCCAGUAGGAGCAUGUCCUUAAGGCACAGAUCACUCAUGCUAUUGUUUGUGGUUUAAGAAUGCCUUUAAGUGGUUUUCCCCUCUGGGUGGGAGAGGUGUUCCUUGCCCUCAUUCUGGUAAACCCACAACCACCACAAAGAUGGGGAAAAAACAGAGCAGAAAAACUGGAAACUCUAAAAAUCAGAGCACCUCUCCUCCUCCAAACAAAAGUAGCUCCUCACCAGCAAUGGAACAAAGCUGGACGGAGAAUGACUUUGACAACAACCCAGAAUUUCAUAUCCAGCCAAACUAAGCUUCAUAAGUGAAGGAGAAAUAAAAUACUUUACAGACAAGCAAAUGUGGAGAGAUUU